AUUGAACGCUGGCGGCAUGCCUUACACAUGCAAGUCGAACGGCAGCACGGCAGUAGCAAUACUGUGGGUGGCGAGUGGCGGACGGGUGAGGAAUACAUCGGAAUCUGCCUAGUCGUGGGGGAUAACGUAGGGAAACUUACGCUAAUACCGCAUACGACCUACGGGUGAAAGCGGGGGAUCGCAAGACCUCGCGCGAUUAGAUGAGCCGAUGUCCGAUUAGCUAGUUGGCGGGGUAAUGGCCCACCAAGGCGACGAUCGGUAGCUGGUCUGAGAGGAUGAUCAGCCACACUGGAACUGAGACACGGUCCAGACUCCUACGGGAGGCAGCAGUGGGGAAUAUUGGACAAUGGGCGCAAGCCUGAUCCAGCAAUGCCGCGUGCAGGAAGAAGGCC
rnacentral:rRNA from 1 species